GCCGCCUUCGUCUAGUGGCCUAAGACACCUGGUUCUCAUCCAGGAGAUCAGGGGUUCGACUCCCCUAGGCGGUA
rnacentral:tRNA from 1 species